AGAACACUGUCUGCAAAGCGGGACACUUUCUUAUAAAAUGAUAGUCAAAAUGGAACAAGAGUGUAUGGUUUAUAAAUUUGUAAUGGGAUCAUUUUUGUAUGCUGCUGUCUUCGUUUUGGGUCUCGUUCGGUUGCGCACGACUCUCGGAUAUUACGCAAUAAACUGCGAGACACUUAUGGCGCGGAAAAUUUUGACAAAAAAGUUUUCCGAGUGGAACGAUUUCACUCGCUCGGAACUCGACCAUCCACUCACGAAUGGAAUACGUCGACUAUAAGUCUACUCUGAAAUUACUGGAAUCGAACCUUCGAAUUUGAAUUUUAGGGUACAUAGGGUGCAGAAUCAACGGGAUUUUCAUGGGUUUACACACGGCUGGACAGAAUGAAAACACACCGUUAAGAACUUUAUUUUUUCAAAUAUCUUAUGUUAUUGAAAUUCAUUUGCAAUAAUCUUAAGUGCAGAAAACACAGCUUUUCUUGCAGUUUGUGCCGAUAUCUUAAGGUAUGACAAUAAAUCCUUGAAUACGUCUGAACGUAUAAAAAUUGAUAAAAUUUCACGUUGCGUGAAGCAUAACCGCGCAGUACACAAGGAAUGUUUUAAGAAGAACAUAGGCUUAUUAAAUAAAGUAAUUAUCAUGUAUUUCACAUUGUAUUAAGCAGCAUAAAAUUCUGUCUUUUAUGUACAAGUAGAAAUUCCCAUGACAAAAUUGUUUUUAAAAGUUGUUUGAAAGAAGCACCAUUUGCCGGUGUCUUUACAGCCAUUAAAGUUUACUUGGGAACCCCGAAAAGUCGCGUGACCGUGCAACCUGGCACUGGGAAAUAAUUGAAUUGGAAUUUACCUCAUGAUUGGAAUAACUUGACCAUUACUCUUUUGUGAAAAUACUGGAACCGCAACUUUUCGUUUACUUGGAAAAACUCGAAAUUUAGUAUACUGUGAAAGUACUGAAACAAGACCUUAUCUCAUAAUUGGAAUAACUCGAUCAUUAGUCUACUGUAAAAAUACUGGAACUGGAACUUUUCGUAUACUUGGACAAACUUGAAAUUUAGUAUACUGUGAAAGUACUGAAACAAGAUCUUAUCUCAUAAUUGGAAUAACUCGAAUUUUAGUCUACUGUGAAAAUAUUCGAAUUGAAACUUAUAAUUGGAAUACCUCGAAUUUUAAUCUACUGUGAAAAUACGGGAAUCGGAGCUAAAGUCAAAAUUGGAGUAACUCAAGUUAUUUUCGUCUACUAUGAAUGCACUGAAAUAGGAUCGCAUCUGAUUAUUGGAAUAUCUCGUAUACAUAUAUUAAUCGAUUGUGGUUACACUGGGAUAGUAAAACGCAUAUGAUAAUUUGAAUAUCUCGAAUGCAUAUAUUACUCAAUUGUGGUUACGCUGGAAGAGUUAAGCGCAUCUGAAUAUAUCGCAUACAUAUAUUAAAUCUGAGUAGUUCCGAUACGCAUCAAUAUGGAGCGAUGAUCCUAUUAAUAUAAUAAAUAUUCAUGUGACUCCAACAUUAGAUUGGUGAAAAUGCUGCAAUAGGAUCGAAUCUUAUAAUCGGAAGUAUUCGAAAAUGUGUUUACUAUCAACAUACUUGGAAAUGCUUCGAAAAAUAAAAUCAUAUGUCAAUGAAUUGAUUCUUAUGAACACCUGACUAUACAAGAUGUGUAAAUGAAUAAAAGAUUGUUGUGAUACAAAAUAAAUGGAAAUGAUUCUGGUUACAACCUACAGGCUGAUCAAUGACAAUUCCUCCCGCUUAUAUGGAAUUUUUCGGAUUGUUUGCAUCAGAGAAACUAAAAAUAAACUGAAUGACCAAAUAAAGGGAUUGUGUUGCUAUACAACAGCGCCUGUUACAAGCGACCAGUCUUUGAAAAUGUCUCCACAAAACGAUCGUUUUAAUAGCUUUAUCUGUUUCUAAACAUUUCAUUCUUCACAAUUUUGCUUGCAUACGUCUGCUGCAAUCUAGACCUGUACAUACGUAUCCCAAUUACAUUACUAGAUAUUGGAACAAUUUUCAGGCUAAAAAUAAAUCGUCGUAAAUUUCAAAGGAAAGAUUUUUCUGAAAAGGGUAAGCUAAAAAAGGAAUUACUUAAAUAUAGUCUUUUUCAUUAAAUUUGGUAGACCGAUAA